rnacentral:rRNA from 1 species
CAGGAUGAACGCUGGCGGCGUGCUUAACACAUGCAAGUCGAACGAAGCAGUUAUCACGAUCCCUUCGGGGUGACGAGUUACUGACUGAGUGGCGGACGGGUGAGUAACGCGUGGGUAACCUGCCUUGUACAGGGGGACAACAGUUGGAAACGACUGCUAAUACCGCAUAAGCGCACGGAAUCGCAUGAUUUUGUGUGAAAAGAUUUAUCGGUACAAGAUGGACCCGCGUCUGAUUAGCUAGUUGGUGAGGUAAUGGCCCACCAAGGCGACGAUCAGUAGCCGACCUGAGAGGGUGACCGGCCACAUUGGGACUGAGACACGGCCCAAACUCCUACGGGAGGCAGCAGUGGGGGAAUAUUGCACGAAUGGGCGCAAGCCUGAUGCAAGCGACGCCGCGUGAGCGAAGAAGUAUUUCGGUAUGUAAAGCUCUAUCAGCAGGGAAGAUAAUGACGGUACCUGACUAAGAAGCACCGGCUAAAUACGUGCCAGCCGCCGC